rnacentral:rRNA from 1 species
UACGUAGGGGGCAAGCGUUGUCCGGAAUCAUUGGGCGUAAAGAGCGUGUAGGCGGCCUGGUAAGUCCGCUGUGAAAGUCCAGGGCUCAACCCUGGAAUGCCGGUGGAAACUGUCAGGCUCGAGUCCGGAAGAGGCGAGUGGAAUUCCUGGUGUAGAGGUGAAAUUCGUAGAUAUUCGGAGGAACACCAGAAGCGAAGGCGGCCAACUGGCCCGAUACUGACGCUGAGGCGCGAAAGCGUGGGAGCA